CUUAAGUCGAACAACUUUCAGUUGAACAACCUUCGACUAAAGAUUAAUCGACUUAAGGUUGUUCGUCUAAAGGGUUGUUCCACUGGAGGUUGUUCGACUGAAGAGCUGUUCGACUGAAGGGCUGUUUUACUGAAGGGCUGUUCGACUGAAGGUUGUUCGACUGGAGGUUGUUCGACUGAAGGUUGUUCGACUGGAGGUUGUUCGACUAAGGGCUGUUUGACUGAAGACUGUUCGACUGAAGGCUGUUCGACUGAAAGGUUGUUAGACUUAUGUUCGACUGAAGGUUGUUCAACUGAAAGGUUGUUCGACUGAAGGUUGUUCGAAUGAAGGUUGUUCGAAUGAAGGUUGAAAGAGAAAGGGAGAAUGUCAAGCAACAAAAUAUUCUCACUAUAACAUUUUUCAGUAUUACACUUCUUUGAUACCUAAUGUAUCUUAAAAACACAUGUAUUAAUAAUAAAAGUAACUCCCUCAAACAAUAAAAAAAAUAUUAUAAAUAUUUUGUUGCUUGACAUUCUCCCUUUCUCUUUUAAUCUCUUAUAUGCCGCGUUCACACCGUUUUUAUUUUUUAUUUUUUAUUUGUUUUUAUUCUAUCUGGAAAUUGUGUUUUAUUUUGUUGUGACGGUGGGGUAUAAGGUUGUGUGCAUACCCAACCCAGAUCCCAUUUGGUGGGAGCCUUAUGUGUUCGAUCAUCCUUAUGGUACCCAUGCAGUUGUUAUUGAAGCAUUGGUUUGGAUAUUUUAAGAUAACCAUUCUUAAUGUAAGUUAGACAUAUCAAAAGUACAAGACUUCUUAAGUUGGGGAUGGAACCACCUUUGUUGUUGUUUUGGCUGGUGAACUUUUAAGGGAGGCAGAAAAGUUGGUUGCUACCAAGAUUCAUCCAAUGACAAUAAUAUCAGGUUCAGUUCUUUUCUUUUCUACAGUGACUUAAAUGCUCUUAUCCUGGCAAUGUUAUGUUUCAUAUUAAUGAAUUUUCUACUCACAACUUAAGUGAUUCACUCUUUGAGUACAAGACAAUAUAUUCAAUAAGUAAUUCUUGUAUUUGAUAAGAAAGCAACAUUUUUCUUAUUGUGCUUAAUCUGUUUUUAAAAUUGUAUUUUGAAUAUCAUGUCUUUGUUUGAUGUCUAAUAUCGUGGAGUGUUCCUUUGAUGCUCUUGAUAUUAAGUAGGGAAUGCAAAGCCUAGUGUCAAAAAAUUUUGGUGCUUGUUUUCUAAUUAAAGUAGGAAUUAAUUUGUUGAUGCUUGUUAGAGAGAUGUGGUAAUAUAAGUAGUCAUUGGAAUUUCCAUUGUCAAUCUUUUAUUUUCCUUAUUUCUAAUGCUGCCCUAUAUGCACUUAUUUUUUGACGUGGUUUCUAGGUUUCCGAAUGGCAGCAGUGUGUUCGGAAUGCUUUGUUAGAGAAGGUUGUGGACAACAAAGCUGAUCCUGGUGUUGUUUCUCCCACUUUUUUGUCGAAUUUGUUUUCAGGGUAUUAUAAUUAGGGCUGGGCACGGUUUAUUUAGAAACUUGAAACUGUAGUUAAUAUGUACUUCUUCAUACUUAAAAAUACUUAAACUGUUUUUACUAAAACAUAGUUAUACGGUUAACAGUUCAGUUUGAAUAUACUGAACCUAUUUUAUUUGUACUACAGAAUAGUUAACUUUGGUUUAGGUUUAUUAUGUUACAUUCCUUUCUUAUUGUGUCAAAAAGCUUCCUUACUUUUGAAGACUAGCCUCCAUCGAAGGUCGUUGCCAUCGAAGGUCGUUGCCAUCCAAGCACGUAGCCGUUGACGUCUAAUUUGAAUUAGAAUGUUAUGAGUAUUACUUUUUGAGGAAGUACAUCCAUGACACAGGGAGAGAAACUUUUGGAAAGCAUAUUUGAAAGCAUUGCCCUGAUGUUUUUGAAGGUCUGGCCAAUCCAUGUUUAUGUAGCUCAUGAGCAUGAGGAAGAGUGGGAGGCUUGUCAUUGCAAAUUUGGCUUUCGAAGAUGUCAAGGUUGAAGGUUGUGGAUCUUAAGCAUUAUUUUUCAGUACCAUAUAAUGGUAGGUGAGUUGUGUGAAGAGCAUGUCCAAGAACUGUUGUUGGCUGAACAUGUCCGAGAACUGCUGGUGCCUGAGCAUGUCUGAACUUGUCAACAUGUUAUUAUGUACCGAUUGCCACGACCAGAAAAUUCAGAAAGCAAAACAAAUUGACGUGAGAAAAAGUGUAGUUAUAAAGCCAAGCACAUGGGCGACUUGGUUAGUUGAUUCAUUUUUCCAUCAAAGCAAAUUUUGAAGCAUGAUUCUCUGACUAUUAUCUCCUCACAUUUAGUCCAGAUUCUUCAUCAAUUUUGUAGCAGGAGUUCAAUCAUGUAAUCCUUGUGUAUAGGUGACCUAAUUUGUAUAGAGUACAAUUAUUUCUACUUCUAUGCUUUCAAUUCUAUUUGUCUUGAUCAACCAAACAUCUAUGAAGAUAAAAGUGUCCCUUACAAUCAAUCAUUCCAAUCAAACUUCAAAUCAAAACUUCAAUUAAAGACAUGUAUACCUUAAAACGCUCAAAGAAAACAUCUCUGCGAGUCUGAGGGAUUUGUCCCCAUGUCAGCCAUGGCUCAUCAAAUUGUCCUUUAAUGGUGGCUGUGAUUGUUUUGGAUGCUGUUUUUGUUGGAUAAAACCUGUAUCAAAAUAAAAGUCAAAUAUUAGAAUAAUACAUUAUUAUAGAAUUAGCUACAUUAAAUUCAUUUUUUGUUACCCUCGGCCAAUAGGUUGAAUGAUGGGACGAUUGGUGGAGCAUGAUCCAUGUUGUGUAUACAUACCAAUUAACGAAAAAUUAGCCAGUACUUAAUACAAGGCUAAACUAAUUAUGUGUUAGGAAAGUACUUAGUCAUGGUAGUAUAAGAAAUAGAAUGUGUUAUCUUAAUGUUUAGGUAACUCGUGAAACCCGUUGAGGGUGGGUUUAUGCUACAACACUUGUAGCUGUAUGCAAAAAGAAGAGGGAAUGAUACCAAUUCCAUCUUCUGAUUUUUGGAUAAAGUAAUAACCCCAUAUUCUAGGAUAGCCUUCAAAGGUAUUCUUUCAUUAAAGAAUCUAUGCAUUUUCAUAAUUGUUUCUUGGGUUCCUAUCAAAGAUAAAUCCAAAAUUCACAAUAUUUGUUGCUAGUAUUGUGCUCCCUAAUUUGUGCUACCUAAUUUUUCCUCCCUAAUUUGUGUUGUUUGCAUGCUUAAAAGAAGAUCUAGUAAAGAAAAUGACUGAGAGAUAUGAGGAUUUCUUGAAACAGUACACAAGAUUUAUGAUGACACACGGUUCACCCAUCUCAAAAGCAUAUCAAAUAUACAAUACCAAAAAUGCAUUGUCAUAAAGUAUAUUCAUGUUAUAUGCUCAUGUUAUAUGCUUGAAUGUAAAUAAACUUUAUUUCAUCACAUAGGUAUGAAUUAUGUAUAAGCUAAAAUGUCAAUACUUCUCACCUUUUCUCUUCAAAACUUACUAGGACCUUUGGCUGAAUGUGAAAACAACCUUGUUGUAUACUGGAUUGCAGAUGCAGAAGCAUAACUAUCUAGCAAGAACCAAUUGCAAAGAAUCUAAAAACCACAAUUAACUAGGCUGAGAAUGGAUACUAAGUAUAAAACCAAACAAUUGCAAAUUGAAGGAAAUACAAAGUAAUGAAAACAACUCAAGGUUUGGAAAAUAUGGGAAAAAAAAGUGCACAUUUCGAAACCUUAAAAUAUAUGUACCACAUAAGAAUAGUACACAUAAUAUACUUUACCUCAAAAUUCAAUCUAGGUCAUCAAAGCUUCCUAUGUUAUCCCAGGCAAAUUUGGCAAAUUCACCUUGCUUUUCUACGGCCUUUUAUAACUUCGUAGUCUCUUCUGUUACCCCUAUACAUAAAUAUAAUUACAAAUGAUAUACUAUACAACAUACUUUACUGUUUUUAUGCUCUAAUUCUGAAAUUCUUGUGCUACCCAGAACCACUUGUGUCUGUUUUUCUUGUGUUAACAAACUGAAUUUUGAAAAGGAAGAAAUGGAGAGUUCGGACAAUGUUGUUUGUACUAAUUUAUCAUUGUUUGAAGGAAAGAACUUUGAUGAUUAGAGGGUGAAGAUAGUUGUUAUAUUUUGUUUCCAACAUGUAGGACAAGUGGUGAAGGUGGGAUUUCAUGAAUUAGGAAUACAUGCUAUUGCCAAUUAUAAGGACAAUUAUAAAUAAUUCAAGAAACUGGAUUGCAAUUCCCAAUUUAUGAUUCAUCAAUGUGUUGAUGUUACUGUUUCUCGAAGAAUAUCCAAGGCCAGUGCAACAAAACAAGUGUGAGAUAUUUUGGUUAAGACCUAUGGCUUUUAGAAUCUGCUGCAGAUUUUUUCAAUAGAAUUCAAAUACUGGUGAAUAGAAUGAGUCUUGCAAGUAGGAGCUCUCAGAUCAGCAGCAGGUUGUUAACAAGAUCUUCAGAACUUUAACUUUGCACUUGAUCAUGUUGUGGAAAAUGAAGAAUCAAAGGCUUUGAUUCAAUGCGUAUUGAAGAAUUACAUAAUUCAUCCCUAUGCACAAAGAAUUAAUGAGAGGAGGAAUGCUGAGAAGAGAAGGCUCACGAGCAAACAUUACAAGUCUAAAACAGUAUAAAAAACUAAAGGGAGUUGGAACCAAAAAGGGAAAUGGAAAGGAAAAUGGAAAGGAGGAAGAUUGAAUGAAUGAACUAGUGGCCAAGGCCAAACUGUUCAAGAUCAGAGUGAUUUGACCACCAAAAGAUGAUUUUUUUUAAGAACUCAUUUAAAUGAAAAUUUUAAUCAGGGAUUUAUCAACCAACACACUCAUAUUUCAGGGACCAAUUUGAAUAUGUACUCAGAAAAUGUAUUGAACUACUUUGAGAUAAACAAAUUUUGGUUGACUUCACGCAGAACUUAAUUGGUUAACAAGUUUCCUUCUCGCAUAUAAGCCAUUCUAUGACCAUCUCUUUUCAUCAACUUCACAUCGUCUAUCCUCAAUUUCUCUCUUUUUACAAAAUGUUGCAAAUUUGCAUAGUUGCUUAA